UACGUAGGGUGCAAGCGUUAAUCGGAAUUACUGGGCGUAAAGCGUACGCAGGCGGCUAUGUAAGACAGGUGUGAAAUCCCCGGGCUUAACCUGGGAACUGCAUUUGUGACUGCAUAGCUAGAGUCUGUCAGAGGGGGGUGGAAUUCCACGUGUAGCAGUGAAAUGCGUAGAGAUGUGGAGGAACACCGAUGGCGAAGGCGGGUCUCUGGGCCGUAACUGACGCUGAGGAGCGAAAGCAUGGGGAGCGAACAGG
rnacentral:rRNA from 1 species